rnacentral:rRNA from 1 species
UCUGGUUGAUCCUGCCAGUGUCAUAUGCUUGUCUCGAGGAUUAAGCCAUGCAUGUCUAAGUAUAAGCGAUUAUACGGCGAGACUGCGAAUGGCUCAUUACACCAGUUACAAUUUUAUUUGGUCAUAACGUUAUCUAUUCGGAUAACUUUGCUAACGCAAAGCUAAUACGUGCUAAAAGCCCCGACUUCUGGAAGGGGUGCAUUUAUUAGUCGCAAAACCAGCAGGAUCAGUGGCAACAUUGGUCCGUCUCGUUGGUGAAUCAUAAUAACUUAGCUGAUCGCAUGGCCUUUGUGCCGGCGACGUGCCAUCCAAGUUUCUGCCCUAUCAGCUUCCGACGGUAGAGUAUUGGUCUACCGUGGCUUCAACGGGUAACGGGGAAUUAGGGUUCGAUUCCGGAGAGGAAGCCUGAGAGACGGCUUCCAGUUCCAAGGAAGGCAGCAGGCGCGCAAAUUACCCAAUACUGAAUCAGUGAGGUAGUGAGAAGAAAUAUCAAAGUUCGGCCCUUUCGGGUCGAACUAUUGGAAUGAGUAACAUUUAAAUCCCAUAACGAGUAUCAACUGGAGGGCAAGUCUGGUGCCAGCAGCCGCGGUAAUUCCAGCUCCAGUAGCAUAUGUCAACGUUGCUGCGGUUAAAACGCCCGUAGUCGAAGGUCGGGCGGAUUGCUGCCGGUGUUUGGUUUGUUUAUUUGAUGUGGUGGUGGCUUCGGUUGCUGCCAUGUUGGGUAGAUGAGCCAUUCAAAGCGCCGGCGCGCCGUCCUUUUGUUCUGGAAGUGCUGAGUCUUAUCGUUUACUCGGUGGAUUCGGUGCUCUGGACUUUUACUGUGAAGAAAUUAGUGUUCAAAGCAGGCGUUAUAAGCCUUGAAUACAUUAGCAUGGAAUAAUGGAAGAGGACAUUGGUCUGAUUUUGUUGGUUUUUGACAGAUCGAUGUAAUGAUUAAUAGGGAUAAUUGGGGCCAUUCGUACUCCAUCGCUAGAGGUGAAAUUCUUGGAUUGAUGGAAGACGAACUAGUGCGAAAGCAUCUGGCAAGGGUGUUUUCAUUGAUCAAGGACGAAAGCUGGGGGCGCGAAGACGAUCAGAUACCGUCGUAGUCCCAGCUAUAAACGAUGCCAGCUGAGGAUUGGUGGGUGUUUUUUAAUGACUCCAUCAGCACUCAAAGGAAAACCUAAGCUUUUAGGCUCCGGGGGAACUAUUGUCGCAAGGCUGGAACUUAAAGGAAUUGACGGAAGGGCACACAAGAAACUGGAUUCUGCGGCUUAAUUUGACCCAACACGGGGAAACUUACCAGGUCCAGACACAGGGAGGAUUGACAGGUUAGAGACCUUUCUUUGAUUCUGUGGGGGGUGGUGCAUGGCCGUUCUUAGUUCGUGGAUCGAUCUGUCUACCUUAUCGUGAUAACGAACGAGACGCCUACCAAUAUCUAGACACGCCAUCUUCACGAGUGUGAGGGCAACCUUGCAUUCGCGGGAUGUGCGGCU